rnacentral:rRNA from 1 species
UACGAAGGGGGCUAGCGUUGCUCGGAAUGACUGGGCGUAAAGGGCGCGUAGGCGGCUUGCACCGUCAGACGUGAAAUCCCUCGGCUUAACCGGGGAACUGCGUCUGAUACUGGAUGGCUUGAGUUUGGGAGAGGGAUGCGGAAUUCCAGGUGUAGCGGUGAAAUGCGUAGAUAUCUGGAGGAACACCGGUGGCGAAGGCGGAAUCCUGGACCAACACUGACGCUGAGUGAGCGAAAGCCAGGGGAGCAAACGGG